rnacentral:rRNA from 1 species
GCCGGCACAAAGGGCAGCUAACCCGCGAGGGCAAGCCAAUCCCAAAAAACCGGUCUCAGUUCGGAUUGUAGUCUGCAACUCGACUGCAUGAAGUUGGAAUCGCUAGUAACCGUGAAUCAGCCACGUCACGGUGAAUAUGUUCCUGGGUCUUGUACUCACCGCCCGUCAACUCAUGGAAGGCAGGAAUGCCCGAAGCGCCUUUACCCGCAAGGGGAGGCAUCACGGCAGAUCUGCUGACUGGGAGUAAGUCGUAACAAGGUAUCCGUAGGAGAACCUGCGGAUGGAAC